GGUAACAAUAGGUUGUUAGUGGAAUAAAUGAUUACAAAUUCAAAGGGUCAUAAUCUUUGGAAUCCAUUGGCCGACGGAUCAUCUUUUUGGUAGGAUAAAUAGGUUGAGAAAAGAGAGAUCAAAGCCAGACUGUGAGAGUCGUAAGUGGAGAGCUAGACUAUAAGAGUCGUAAGUCAAGAGCCAAACUAUGAGAGUCGUAAGCCAAGAUAAGCUUGGUGCUACCUC
rnacentral:lncRNA from 1 species